UACGGAGGGAGCUAGCGUUAUUCGGAAUUACUGGGCGUAAAGCGCACGUAGGCGGCUUUGUAAGUAAGAGGUGAAAGCCUGGAGCUCAACUCCAGAACUGCCUUUUAGACUGCAUCGCUUGAAUCCAGGAGAGGUGAGUGGAAUUCCGAGUGUAGAGGUGAAAUUCGUAGAUAUUCGGAAGAACACCAGUGGCGAAGGCGGCUCACUGGACUGGUAUUGACGCUGAGGUGCGAAAGCGUGGGGAUCAAACAGGG
rnacentral:rRNA from 1 species